UACGUAGGGGCCUAGCGUUGUCCGGAAUUAUUGGGCGUAAAGAGCUCGUAGGCGGUUUGGCAAGUCGGAUGUGAAAUCUCCACGCUUAACGUGGAGGGGCCAUUCGAAACUGCUGUGACUCGAGUCCGGUAGGGGAGUGUGGAAUUCCCGGUGUAGCGGUGAAAUGCGCAGAUAUCGGGAGGAACACCGGUGGCGAAGGCGGUUCUCUGGGCCUGUACUGACGCUGAGGAGCGAAAGCGUGGGGAGCGAACAGG
rnacentral:rRNA from 1 species